rnacentral:rRNA from 1 species
AGAGUGAACGCUGGCGGUAGGCCUAACACAUGCAAGUCGAACGGCAGCACGGUAAGAGCUUGCUCUUAUGGGUGGCGAGUGGCGGACGGGUGAGGAAUACAUCGGAAUCUACCUUUUGGUGGGGGAUAACGUAGGGAAACUUACGCUAAUACCGCAUACGCCCUUCGGGGGAAAGCCGGGGACCAGCAAUGGCCUGGCGCUGAUAGAUGAGCCGAUGUCGGAUUAGCUAGUUGGUGAGGUAAUGGCUCACCAAGGCGACGAUCCGUAGCUGGUCUGAGAGGAUGAUCAGCCACACUGGAACUGAGACAACGGUCCAGUACU